rnacentral:lncRNA from 1 species
ACCAGCGUCUCCAAUAGCUAGAGCCCCACAGUCUGUCCUGGGAACACACACGUCAGGGGUCCUGGGUCCCAUAAAUGCUUCCAGGUCAUGUUCCACGGGAUCAGGGAGGAGAAAGUGAUGGCUGACCCCGAGGUCUCCAUGAAGCGGAAGGAGGAAUCGGGACAUUUGAGGCCAGCGGGGUCAUCACAGAUUAGCUUAGCAUACUGCAGGAUGGACUCCAGCAAAACGAGGGAAACUGUGAACCGCUGACCUUUGAGUGCUUUGCACGCUGAGGUGCUUAGGAGGCAGACAACGAUGUCGGCGGUGUGCUUUGAAAUGCACCGGAAGUAAGAUGUGGUGAGGGAUGGACAGAAAGGUGGACAGAUGGACAGACGUGGAUGAAACCCAAGAGAAAUGUUAGUGGUCAGCCCCAGACCAGGUCUUUCCCCCUCGGCACUGCUGACAUCAGGGCCGGGUCAUUCUCUGGUGGGGGGUCUGUCCUGGGUGCUGUGGGGGGUUGAGCAGCAUCCCUGGCCCCACCUGCUCGGUGCCAGGAGCCACCUACCCCACCCACCCGGUACUGAUUUUCUGUGUCUUAACAAUGACCACAAACUGGGCAGCUUAAAGCAACACUGAUUUAUUCUCUCCCAGUUCUAGAGCCUACAAGUCUGAAGUCAAGGGGUCGCAGGGCUGCGCUGAGGGUCCUUCCUGCCUCUGCAAGCUUCUGGGGGUGGCCUGCAAUCCUUGGCUUGUGGCCGCCUCCCUCUGUUCUCUGUCGUAUCUUCACAUGGCCGCCUCCCUGUGUGUCUUUGCCCAGAUUCCCCCCUUCUUGUAAGGACACAGGCCAUCGGAAGUAGGGCCACCCUACUCCAGGAUGACCUCAGCUUAACUAGUUUCAUCUGCAGAGGCCCCAAUUCCAAAUAAGGUCGCGGUCACAGGUUUAAGGAUUGGGAUGGGGACCUAUCUUUUUGGGGACACAGAGCAACCCGCAACACCUCCCCAGGCAUGACGACCAGAAACAUAUUCGCACCUGUCCCCUGGGGCCGAGAACCGCUGACCCCUGCCCGCCCAUCUGGAGUGGGUCACUGCAGA